rnacentral:lncRNA from 1 species
ACAAACACAAUGACUAACAGCGAUAAUUGCUUAUUUAGUGACAACUCCGAUAGUUACGAUGACAAAGAAAAUAAAACUAAAACGAUUAGCGACGAAUCAAAAAAAAUGACUAACAAUUAUAAAUGCUUAUUUAGUAGCAACUCCGAUAGUGAUUAUAACAACACAAACGAAAUAACUAACAAUAAUAAAAAUUUAUUUAAUGAUGUGAAAUAUAAUAAAUUAGAAACACUCGAAAAAAACAAGGUAAGGUUUAAAAGAAAAAACUGUCUCUUUACAAGUGAUUCGAGUGAUAAUAAGGAUAUUGCGCAGAGAAAUAAAAAAGUAAAAUCGAAAGUUAAAGUAAAAAUAAAAACACCAAUAAAAUCAAAAGAUACCGAUAUUCAUAGUAUGGUAUAUAAAAAUGUGUUUAAUAUGUCCAUAAAUAAUAAAAAUUUGGAAAAUGAUGAUAUUGUAAAAAAGGCAAUCAAUAAAAUACAUUCUGAUAAUAAACUAAAUAAUGAAUCAUAUAAGAAACAAAUUAUAAUAGACAAUAAUAAUAAUUUUAUAAAUGAAAAAAAUAAAGAAAAUGAUACAACAUUUUUAAAUAACAAUAAUAGUAAUAAUAAUAAUAAUAAUAAUAAUAAUAAUAUAAUAAAAGAUUGUAUCUUGAUUAAAAAAAUGAAUAGUAGUAGUAACAAUAAUAAUGAUAAUAAAAUAAAAUGUAAUAACGAAUUUUCACAAAAUGAAACAUGUAAUAAAAAUACAUAUGAAUAUGGUUUUAACUAUAAUGUGAAUCAUAAUAAAACAAAAAUAAAUAAUAAAACAAAAAUAAUUAACAAAAAAAAAAUAAAUAAUAAAACAAAAGUAAUUAAUAAAACAAAAAAUAAUUUUAUUAAUAUAAAUAAUAAAUAUAUAACCCAAGAAUUCGAACAAUCAGAUAUGUAUAGGUUAGUAAAUUUAGAAAAACUAAAAAAAAAAGCUAGCAGAAAAUUAGAUUUUAUGAGUAUAGUCGAUAUAACAAAAGGAGAAAGUAGUGUAUCAGAAGGAGGUCUUAUGAGUAGCAGCAGUUGUGGUGAGAGACAUAAUGAUUCACGUGAAAGGAAACGUAGUCUGAAAUUAAAUGUUGAAAAUACUAGCAAUGGAAGUAAGAUUAGUAACAGUAGUAAUGAAAGUAGCAGUUAUGAUGAUAUUUUAAACCAAACUGAUGAUAGUGUUGUUAAAUCAGAUAAAGCUUUGUAUUCAGAUAGUUGCGAAAUAUGUGAUAGCGUAGAAAGUAAAAAAAUAAGUACACUCGAUAUAUACAACUACUAUUUAAAAAGCGAUAUAAAUAACACAAAUAAUAAAAUUAAUGAGAAAAAUAUUGAACAAAUUACAGAAAAUAAAGUUACUGGUGAUGUUAAAAAAUUAUACAAGUAUUUAAUCGCUACAUAUAAAAAUGAAAUAAUAGAAAAAAAUAUGAAAAAUUUUGCUAAUGACAAUAUAAAUAUUGAAAAUAAUGAAAAUAAUGAAAAUAAUGAAAAUAAUGAAAAAAUUACAAAAGAGGACGAAGAUAGAACAAAUAUGUCUACAAUAACGAACGUGUUGGACAAAAGUGAUUUGAAAGAUAUCACACCUAUGUUACAACAACAUAAACACAUGGAUAAACAUAAGCAAUACAUAAAAGGGAAUCUAAGACGAGCUCACAUGAAGCUCUCCCAAAUAAAACGAGUUCAUAUGAUACGUCGCCGUAAAGAAUUAGAAAAAAAAAAAAAAAUUUUAAAAGAAUUACACAUAUAUAAAAAUUUCAGAAAUAUAAAUAAUGAGAUAUCAAGACAGAACAAUAUAAAAGGUUUAAAUUUUAAAGAAAUGAUAUCCUAUUUUAUUCGAUUAAUAAAUAAAAAUGUGUCAAUUAUAAAUAAAAAAUCGAAAGGUAAUAUUUUAUGGACUAAUCAAACUGGUGAUCGUGACAGUUUAUAUAAUGAUACAAGUGAAGUGGAAGAAUGUUUCAUAGCUGUAAAGAAAAAAAAAGACACCACUAAUAGUAAUAAUAAUGAUAAUAAUAAUAAUAAUAAUAAUAAUA